ACUCAAAUAUUCCGGUCAAGCUAUCAAAUAUUCUACGAAGAUUUCAUAGGUACAAAAGUAAAACUCAAAUAUUUAAAUCUAUCAUCACACUAUCUUCAUUUCGUCUUCAGAUAUAGUCCAAGUUUUCCCUACGUCCAAUGCACCCUCAACCAAGCCUUCAACCAAAAUACACUGACAUUUCUUACUUUUUGAAAGACCGCAACUGCAAGAAGAAAAUGUACUUUAGUUAAUUUAACUACAGAAAAAUAAAAACGCAAUACCAUAAAAAUGCGAUGACCAUAGUUUUUCAUACACAUAGUGAAAAUGGAAUCAUCAUUAGAAGUGUAGUUUAAAUUUACGGUAUCCCAUCCCACUCUGCCACUUAAAAGAAAAUAGUGAGAACCACGUUAGAUUCUCCAACUAAACCUGUUUAGAUGAUGUAAUACCACAUAAAGUAAAAUCACUUUUCUUAUAUUCAAGUGGUAUGAUGUCUAGCACUAACAUUCAAUCUUAUUGGUGACUAAGUAUCGCCUAUAGGUUUCAGACUAGCAUGUUGUAUGACAUUGCAGAAGUGACUAACUGAUUCCAUAUUUCAACAAAUUAGGCAAAAAAACCACUCACCUUGUAUACAAAUUCAACUUCAGCAUUAACCAGCUUGUCAGAAAUUUUCAGCACCCACUACAGAAAAAGAGACAAAAAAAUUACUUAUAUCGAUAAGCAAAAAUUCAAGCAACUAGGAUGUAGAGAAAAUCUGAUCAUAAGAGCAUACCAAUAGAUGGUUGCAUUCGAGAUUCAGUCCAAAUAAAAAAACCCCAAUCCACAAAACCAAGUAGAGUUUUUUCGCCAUUUU
rnacentral:lncRNA from 1 species